UACGAAGGGGGCUAGCGUUGUUCGGAAUCACUGGGCGUAAAGGGCGCGUAGGCGGCCGAUCAAGUCGGGGGUGAAAGCCUGUGGCUCAACCACAGAAUUGCCUUCGAUACUGUUUGGCUUGAGACCGGAAGAGGUUAGUGGAACUGCGAGUGUAGAGGUGAAAUUCGUAGAUAUUCGCAAGAACACCAGUGGCGAAGGCGGCCAACUGGUCCGGUACUGACGCUGAGGUGCGAAAGCGUGGGGAGCAAACAGG
rnacentral:rRNA from 1 species